CAGCAGCCACGGGAAUACGUAGGGUGCGAGCGUUAAUCGGAAUUACUGGGCGUAAAGCGUGCGCAGGCGGUUGUGUAAGACAGGUGUGAAAUCCCCGGGCUUAACCUGGGAACUGCGCUUGUGACUGCACAGCUAGAGUAUGGCAGAGGGGGGUGGAACUCCACGUGUAGCAGUGAAAUGCGUAGAGAUGUGGAGGAACACCGAUGGCGAAGGCAGCCCCCUGGGCCAAUACUGACGCUCAUGCACGAAAGCGUGGGGAGCAAACAGGAUUAGAUACCCGCGUAGUCCCUGUCUCUUAUAC
rnacentral:rRNA from 1 species